rfam:Erinaceus europaeus unplaced genomic scaffold scaffold00145, whole genome shotgun sequence
GGAUGUGAGGGCGAUCUGGCUGCGACAUCUGUCACCCCAUUGAUCGCCAGGGUUGAUUCAGCUGAUCUGGCUGGCUAGGCAGGUGUCCCCUUCCUCCCUCACCGCUCCAUGUGCGUCCCUCCCGAAGCUGCGCGCUCGGUCGAAGAGGAUGGCCUUCCCCGAAUAGAGACUAGAGACGGACCGGUCUUCGGUCAAGGGUAUACAAGUAGCUGCGCUCCCCUGCUAGAACCUCCAAACAAGCUCUCAAGGUCCAUUUGUAGGAGAACGUAGGGUAGUCAAGCUUCCAAGACUCCAGACACAUCCAAAUGAGGCGCUGCAUGUGGCAGUCUGCCUUAAAAA